UGGGGACUCACAUUUCUCAAUUUCAAAACUUGCCACAAAUCUACAGUAAUCUAGACCAUGUGGUACCGUCAUAGGAUAGACAUAUAGAUCAAUGAAAUGGAAAU